rnacentral:lncRNA from 1 species
CUACCUAUAAAUACCCACUCAUUUUAUCAUUUCCAAACACCAAGCAAAUAAUUUCACUACAUUAAUCACAUUCAAUCAAUGGUUGAGAGCGCUAAUUAACACUGAAAAUGGCUAAAUUUGCUGCACCCUCCAUUGCCCUUCUUCUCACUUUGACCAUUCUCUUUUUCACUAUGGUUAGUUCCACUGAUGUCCCAUGUCCACCACUCCCACACCCCAAACCCCACCCUACUCUNNNNNNNNNNNNNNNNNNNNNNNNNNNNNNNNNNNNNNNNNNNNNNNNNNNNNNNNNNNNNNNNNNNNNNNNNNNNNNNNNNNNNNNNNNNNNNNNNNNNNNCCCUACUCUCAAGCCCCACCCCAAGCCUACCCCUACCCCCUCUACCCCAUCCACCCCAUCAACCCCGUCAUCAAAGGGUAAGUGCCCAAAGGACACACUUAAGCUAAAAAUGUGUGCUAACUUAUUGAAUGACUUGGUGCACCUUGUUAUUGGAAGUAGUCCAGCCAAGACUGAAUGCUGCUCUUUAAUUCAAGGACUUGAUGAUCUUGAUGCUGUUGUUUGCCUUUGCACUGCCAUUAAAGCCAAUGUGUUGGGAAUUAACCUAAAUGUUCCUCUUUCCCUCAGUUUGUUGCUCAACAACUGUGCAAAGUAUGCCCCCAAGAACUUCCAAUGCGCAUAAGCUGCUGUUUUUUUAAAUAAUUAUCCUUGUUUAUUUAGAAGUUUUUCAUCUGUCUUUCUUCAGUAAGUUUUGUAUGUUUUGCUUAUGAUUGUAUCCGAAUUUUAUUAUUAAUAAAAUGACAUCUUAUAAUGAUUCAUAAUAUUGUUAGGUGAUUGUCUCGUUUUUGUUGUCUAGUUUAUUGUCGCUCAAGUUUACUUUAAAUUAUUAAUUUUCGCAUGACACCUGAUUAUUUUGAUCCUAACAAACAUCACAUAUUUGAGAUUCGGAAAUAGGCUGAAUAAUUAGUUUCUCAUUUAAAAGUUGGUCUUUACAUAAUAUUUUUUGAUCGAUCGAUCUGAAAUUAAUUACUUUCGCUAGUCGAUUGGAUAUUCACAGAUUGGAUAUAUUGAUUUGGGGGUGACUAUAUUGUGUAAAAUUCCCUUUUAAAUAGAAACCUUAAUUCUUUCUCUAGGCGAUUCUUGGUUCGUAGAAGAUGCAUGGGGACAGAAAAAGUUAAGUUAGUUUGCUCAACCAGUUCCACUUUAUAUAUCUAGACUAGAAAACGUUCGAUUUAAUUUUCAUCAGUUCUAGAGUUGUCUUAUUGCUGUUGAAUUUAUACAUGAUUUAUUGAUAAGUGAAUCAAUUUGUUUCUAAAAUAACAUUCAAAUUAGAUGAAAAUGUGAUACUUAACCUUGAGAUUUGGAUUGAAUGCAUGUGACGUAUCUUCUCCAGAAAAUUCGCAUCCUCUACAAUAAUAAUAGAGCUCACUAUUUAUAAAUGCAUCUAAGGAAGGAAGUCCUAGAAUCAAGCACGGCGGGCAUAAAUGCUAUAUUUUUUUGCAACAGGCAGUAUACUAAAUAUUGUAGAAUAUUCGUCAUUACAUAUGCUAUCGAGUGGCAAGUAUUUAUUUUAUCUUAAUGAGUAUCAUUCUCUCGGUUUCAGCUAUCCUCUAUCUUUGACUCCACAUGUCACGUAAUUAUUUAAUACUAUGACAUAUAUUAAUUAGCCCAUACAUGUACAUUUUUAAUUACUCACUGGAUUCUGAUAGAUAUCUUGAAUUGUUGCGCUAAGUGAAAAAACAGGAAAGGAAAGAAGGAUAUGUUCAAAGUAGCAUUUCUCUGUUGUGGGGGAAUGGCCAGAUGACUGGUGGAAAGAAUUAGACUGCAAUAUUAAGGAUGUUCUAGCUUCAAGUAAGUGUACGUACAAAAUAUUUAAAACAUACUAUAUAGGUAUUUUAAAAUACUUCUCGAUCUCAAACUGUUACAUGUCACGUCUAAAUGUCUGAUCAUCUUAAUAUUGGUGAGACCUAGAAGAGGAAAUAUACUAGAAAUUGUUGUGGAACGGGAUAGUUCAGAAAAUGAAAUUGGGAAACUUGGUUACUGAUCGAAAAAGAGGCUAAUUGCAAAAUAGUUUAGUAUAUUAUCACUUAAGUCCCUUGAGUUUUAUUUGUUUAAAGUCUUAUUCAAGUAGUGUAGCUUUUAUCUUGAAAGACAGGUGGACAUUCUUAUUCCUUUGUAUAUGUUAGCAUAGUACCAUCACUGUUUAUUUUUCAUUGGUUGUGUAGGUGAUUACAGCUGUAGGAUCAUUGCCUUAUUUAGCCCAGUAGCAUCCUCAUAAAGAUCUAUUGAAGAAUGAAAAAUCUUAUUUAGGGUGUAUUUGGUACGAAGGAAAAUAUUUUCCGGAAAAUAUUUUUUAAAUUUUUUAUAGUUGGUUGGCUUAAAUAUUUUGGAAAAUGUUUUCCUUAUUAAGAGAAGGGAAAACAUUUUCCAAACCUCCAUCUCAACAUUCUCCGCUCUCAUCAACCCACUCCACCCCCUCUCAAAUUUUUUUUUUUUAAUUUCAGUUUUUCCCUUAUCACCUACCCUACUACACAUUUAGCCCCCCCUCCCUCCAAAAAAAAAAUUUUUAUCUUAAUUUUUUUAAAUAUUAAAUUACUAUAUUUUUAUUUUUCUGCACCACCCACCCCAACCCCCACCAGGACCCCCUCCGAAAAAAAAAUUUACUCUUUUUGUGGUUUAAAUUCCUGUUUUUUUUUCAUUUUACUGCCCCCUACCUCAGUCCCGCCCNNNNNNNNNNNNNNNNNNNNNNNNNNNNNNNNNNNNNNNNNNNNNNNNNNNNNNNNNNNNNNNNNNNNNNNNNNNNNNNNNNNNNNNNNNNNNNNNNNNNNNNNNNNNNNNNNNNNNNNNNNNNNNNNNNNNNNNNNNNNNNNNNNNNNNNNNNNNNNNNNNNNNNNNNNNNNNNNNNNNNNNNNNNNNNNNNNNNNNNNNNNNNNNNNNNNNNNNNNNNNNNNNNNNNNNNNNNNNNNNNNNNNNNNNNNNNNNNNNNNNNNNNNNNNNNNNNNNNNNNNNNNNNNNNNNNNNNNNNNNNNNNNNNNNNNNNNNNNNNNNNNNNNNNNNNNNNNNNNNNNNNNNNNNNNNNNNNNNNNNNNNNNNNNNNNNNNNNNNNNNNNNNNNNNNNNNNNNNNNNNNNNNNNNNNNNNNNNNNNNNNNNNNNNNNNNNNNNNNNNNNNNNNNNNNNNNNNNNNNNNNNNNNNNNNNNNNNNNNNNNNNNNNNNNNNNNNNNNNNNNNNNNNNNNNNNNNNNNNNNNNNNNNNNNNNNNNNNNNNNNNNNNNNNNNNNNNNNNNNNNNNNNNNNNNNNNNNNNNNCCGAAAAAAUAUUUUCAAUAUAUUUUUCAGUUUUAGUUUUAUUAUUCUUCGGUUUACAAGCUAAAAAUUUUUAAAUUUUAAAGUUAUGAAUUCAGAUGUUUAUGUGUUUGGAAGUUUAUAGUUUUAGAAAUUAUAAAUUUACGAGUUUAAAAUUUCGCGAUUUUAAAUUUUGUGGGUCCGAAAGGUUGUUGGUUCAAAAGUUUAUGGCUUCGUAUUUAUUAUAUCUUAAUAAUUUAUAAAUACUCUUGAGAAGUCAUUUUCCUUAAUUUGCGUAACAAACACUGAAAAACAAAUAAGAUUACUACUUGUUUUCCAAGAAAAUAUUUCUUAAAAAAUAUUUGCCACGGAAAACAUUUUCUGUUAUACCAAACACACCCUUAAUCUUCUUACUUCAAUUCUGCAAAUUUUUCUUUUCUGUUCUUUCUUUGCUAAAAUGCUACAUUUGGUAUCUAGAGCCGGACUUUCACGGCGACUUUCUAGUAAGUCAUGGUGAAGUCACAAAAGGAUAAAGCUCCCUAUGAUGGUUGGAAAAAUUGAAAAUCAGCUCAAAGUAUAUAUUAAUGAAUCUAAAAAAUGGAUGGAAAUGCUUGAACAGAUUCAAGCUCGUUUGCACGCAGAGGCCACACAAAGACAAGUAGAGAACAAUCGUAGACUUGACACCUUGUUGGCCCAUCUAGAGAUAGAACAAAGAUCGAAAUCAAUAGCUUCAGGGAGAUCUCUUGCAGCUUUGGCCAUGUGUGAUUCAACAAUAGAAAGAGAAGAAUCUUCGGUAACUGGAAUGCGCAGACCCUCUCUUUCACCAGUAACACCAAAUUUUUCACAAACGGGAAGGAAUUUGUCUCUAGCUGGCGCUCCCUUCAAUAUUAUGGUUUCUGCUAUGAUACCCAUUACACAAUUUGGGCCUUUAACAUUUUAUAGUUCAGGACCUUUUUUAUACCCUGCAACACCACUUUCACUCACUCAACCACCAAGAACUUCCAGUUUCUCAUCUAUACCAAUUUCUUUGAUUAACCUUGUUUUUAACACAAGUAUUCCUAUGAACACCACUCAAGUUACUCCACCUUAACCCAGAUAACUUUCACCACUACCUUCCUACCACAUCUAGCUUGUUAGGCCAUUAUGAAUAGUUCAAUGGUGCAACCCAAUAGUCAAUAUAAUUUACAGCCCACUACCCAAACUUUCAGCCCUUUUAAAGGCCCAAAAGUAAAGCUAAAUUUUUCUGAUUUUGACUGUGACAACCCACGAGGUUGGAUAAGACGAUGUGAGAAGUACUUUGAACUGUAUCAAAUUGAGGCUACUGAAAAAAUGAGUUAUGUGGCUUUCCAUGUCAAUGAAAAGAUAGAUACAUGGUUUGAUGUGUAUAUGAUGGAACAUGGGGGGGGUCAUAACAUGGGAAACUUUUUAUUUGGAUGUUUGCCCAAGGUAUGGUAGCAUUAAACCCUUGGACAUUGUGAUUGAAUUUAAUAGGUUACAACAACGGACAGAUGUUGAAAACUAUUUUAACAAGUUUGAAGACCUGCGUUUUUACUUGUUACUAAUUAAUCCUAUCUUUAAUGAAGUCUAUUUUGUGUAUUGUUUUAUUGGAGGAUUAGAAACUGAUUUGAAGUCUAUGGUAAGAGUGUCUAAUCCUCAGACAAUGACAGAUGCUUUAGAAGUGAUCAAAUUACAUGAAAAGACCUUCAGCCAUCUAUAAAAAUAUUCAACCACCAAAGAUUUCCAUCACUCAGCCCAAAAUAACUUUUCCCCCAAGCCCCAAAGCGAUCAUUAGCCCAAGACCAAAAAACUUACCACUCAUUGUAACCCGUAAUCCAACAACCUCAUAAAAUAACCCUUCCUUGGAAACAUUACGUGAAAAGAAGUUGUGUUAAAGUGUCACGACAAAUAUUUUCCUAGGCAUCAAUGCAAGGUGAAAGUCCUUAAUUCUAUAGAGGGUACUGAAGCAGCAACAAUAUUUGAGGAAGUUGAAAGUUCUGGAGUAACGGAGGAAGAAAAUCUGAAGUAAAUGAUGAAGAGGCAGUGGUAAAUGCAAUGGAGGAAUGCAAAGAAGAAGCUUGGAUUAACAUGUUGGAUGGCCCAGAUAGAGGCCCAAACACCAUUAAGAUUCCAGGAAUAUGGCAAAAUGAAUCCAUAAUUGUAUUAUGUGAGUAAAACCUUUUUCCGUAAUCUGGCAAAUGGAAGGUGAAGUCUUAAAAUUUUAUUUGUGAUUAGUGAAGGUUAGAGGUUGUGAUAUGGUGUUAGGAAUGGAUUGGAUCGACAUCAUAGCACCCAUGGUUAUAAAUACUAAGCCUCAUAGUGUGUCUUUCAUGAAAGGUAGCCGAAUGAUGACAUUGGUUGGAUAUCCAGAUUCACAAUCCAUGGCUAAAAUGGAUUCAAAGUUAGUACAUGACCCGGAUUUACCCACUAUCGGGAGUUGUGAUGGCGCCUACUGUCGAAUCUAGGCAUGCCAACCUUUAUAAUCACUUUUACCAUUCUUAAAUCUAAAACAACUGAAAUACUAAAAUAUUUAAUUAAAACCUGCGGAAGUCUUUUAACAACAAGAGCGAAAAUAAAGAUGCAGAAAUUACAACAUGUCUCUAUCCAGUAUCUACUGUCACUACUCACGGACAACUAACAAAGUACUAAAAUCAAUAGUCUGAACGAAAAUACAUAAUAUGUCUGUUUGUUACAAUUAAAAAAGUGAAAGAAAUUGACAAGGGAGACUCAGGGCCCGCGAACGCCAGCGAACUACCUCAGAGCCUCUGGACUGAAGGAUCACUCCCGGCUAAAUCUGCGAUCUGUAGCCUGUGUCCUGACCUGUGUAGAAUAAGGCACAGAUGCGUAGUAUCCACACAACUGACCCCAUGUGCUGGUAAGUGCCCGGCCUAACCUCGGUGAGGUAGUGAUGAGGCUAAAACGGACCUAUCGCAACCAACCUGUGCAUUUGUAAUAACAGGAAGUGAGCAAGAAUUUAAGCAAAUAAAGGGGAAGGGGACAUGCUAGGGGAGUAACAGUUCAAUUAUAACUUCUACAAUCAAGAUGUGAAACUAAAUAAAUAAUAAUAAAACAAGAAAGCCAAUGAAUCAACGGCUGCACGGCAUCACCCUUCGUGCUUUUACUCUUAUUCCUUACAAAAAUAGUCAAAUAUAAUGCACGACAUCACUCUUCAUGCUUUUACUCUCAUUUUUCACCAGGAAUAUCAAAUACAGGGCACGACAUCACCCUUCGUGCUUUUACUCUCGAUAAAUCGUGCACGGCAUCACCCCUCGUGCUUUUACUCUCAAUAAACAGUGCACAGAAUCACCCUUCUUAUGGCCACUGCCAAACGGGAACAAGGAAAUAUAUAUCUAUCGAGAUGGAAUAUCCCGGAAAGGGAAUACAAUACAACAAGUGAUCCCGGCAAGGGAAAUACAACUCAACAAUAUGUCCCGGCAAAGGAAUACAACUUAACAAAUGGUUCCGGCAAGGGAAAAGUACCAAAAAUUCCUUUUUAGUUCAUUAAAUUCUCAACUUUCGCUUCAUAGUGCUUGAAAUAAUCAAUUGUUCACUUACUUCACAAUUUAAGAACUCAACAAAUGGUCCCUACAAGGGAAUACAACUCAAAAAAUGCUCCUGGCAAGGAAAAAGUAUCAAAAAUUACUUUUUAGUUCAUUUAAUUCUCAACUUUCACUUCAUGGUUCUUGUAACAAGUAAUUAUCACAAUUGCUCACUUAUUUCACAAUUUAAUAGCAAAUUUGACAUCAUGGUCAUGCUUCACUCGGGCACAUAGGUAACCGUCACCAUACCUAUACACCGACCCCAUAUAACACAUAACAAAUAACAAUCUAAUCCUAUUCCCUCAAGCCAAAGUUAGAUCGAACACUUAACUCGAAAGCUUCCAACUCAACUCAAGCCUCUAGAAUAGCUUUACCCCUCGAAUUCGCUUCAAAAUCGGUCAAAUCUAACCACAAAUGAUCCAAAUGUAGUAACAAAUGUUGGUUGAAUCAAUUUGAAUGCAAAAGAAUAAAAUUCCCAAAGUUUUACUAAAAAAUUCAUAAAUUCCCCCAGGCCCACGUGGUCAAAACUCGAGGUUCGAACCAAAACCGGGUUACCCAUUCCCCCACGAGCUCUUAUCCAUAACUAGAAUUGAAAUCGAAUCUCAAAUCGAGGUCCAAAAGCUCAAAUUAUAGAGAACCUAAGUUCUACCCAAAACCCCAAAUUCCCAUUUUUGAAAAUCUUUGAUUGAAGUAGAUAUUAUGUUAAAAGAUGUUAAGAAGUAGGAAAAUUAGGUAUGAAACAGCUUACCAAUUGAUUUGGAGAAGAAAAUCUCUUCAGAAAAUCGCCUCUUGGGUUUUGGGUUUGUGAACAAUGGAAAAAUGGCUGAAAUUUCGGAUAUAUAUACUUUUGGGAUGCGCUGGUGCACACCGCACAAAAAAGCACCGCGGCCGCACCGAGUGGGAAGAAAACUGAGGCUCUCUGAACCUACCUAGUGCGGACCACACUGAUUUGGUAUGCGACCGCACCGGUUGAUCAGGAACUACCCACCCUCGGAGACCCAGCCAGGCGUACCGCACAAGAAGUGAUAUGGCCGCGCGGCCCCUAGGCAGAUCACACAAGAAGUGAUGCGGCCGCGCGGCCCCUGGGCAGACCGCACAAGAAGUAAUGCAGCCGCGCGGCCACUAGGCGGACCGCAUGGAAAUGGUAGGCGGCUGCACUAGUGCCUGCAACUUGGAUACACCCUCCCGCUUUACCCUUUGUUAGAAGAGUUAUGUCGGUUGUUCCGGCCAUGUCCGACCCAGCUUACUGCAUACGCCUUGAAGGUAUGCCGGGAUUUAUCCGUCUAUGCGGCGAAGGCGGGGAAAGAGGUGACUGUCCAUCACCUCCUGCAGAUGUUCAACGCGGUUUUUAUGGGGGGUUCGAUGCUCAAACUGAGGAAACGUUGCACAAAGAGCUUCGUAUCGCAGUUGGAUGAUAAGGCCAAUCAUAAAUUCAGGACGCGGUUCUUCUACGUGCGUACCGAGCACCUCGUGUCUAACCCCGAAGGGUUCCCGGAGGUGUGGAACGAUGCAUGUGAGUAUUUAUUUGUGCAACUUUUGUUGUUUUGAUCUCACAUUGCUUGUUUUCACCGUUGAGAGUUUAUUUUUGUUUCCAUGAAGUGGUGGCUCGCCCUCCUCAUUGGGUUGACGAUGUUAGAUCGUGGGUGCAAGCGUUGAUACCGUUUGUAGAAGAGACGAGAUCCUGGACUACAUUCCUCAGGCUCUACGGCCCGACAGGUAACAACCUUACCUGAUUUGCGUUGUGGUUAGGGGGUUCCCAUAACUCUUGUGCCCGUCCAAUUUAUUUUUUGGACAGGAUGGUAUUCCUCCAAGAAGCUACAUAAGAAAAAGCAACAGAAGCAGGUGAAGACCGUGGCCGGUCCUUCUAGAACGACAUCUGAUCCUGAGGAGGAUCUGGUCCUUGUUGACACAUCUACAGGCAAUACUUCGCCCCUUUCGAGACAGGAGAUCUUGUUGGAAGUGGCUCCAGAGAUAAUGCUUGGGGCCGUGAUGGAAGUCGUUCCUGAGGCGACACCCGUGGAGGUGCCAAUGGCUGUUCCGGAAAUUUCCCCCCGGAGGGACGUCUACCGUUGUUCCAACCCCUUAUGAACCCUCUUUGCAUUCCCCAAAGGGGGACCCUGAAGAGGACGAGACUUUGGAGGCGCGGAGGCGUCGGAUUAUUACCGGCAAGGCCGUGGCACUCAACCGAAGAAGUUUAAGCCACCCUGCCCUGAAUCCACGGCGGUUGUUAUGGCUGAGGCCAUUAGAGCAGGGAGGUCCGUUCUUGGGAGAGAGACCGCUGAGAGAGGAGAUGAGGGCGCGGACGCAGCGGGCCCCGGAGCGACCCCUGAAGGCGCAAACAGAGGAGGUGGGCUUGGACUGGGUUGAAAUGGCGGCUGGUCGAUCUUCUCGUUGUAUUGUGAUCCCAAGUCACUAUAAUUUGUUGUAGAACUGUGAGGAGGUGGCCACUAGUAUGACACUUUUGUGUAUUGGCGCCAAGAGUGAGACCCUGGCGGAACUCAACGACAAAGUUUUGGCCCAACGGGUGGCAGGUGCGGCCUUACAGGUAUGCCUUUGUCUUUCUUGAUGACCUUUCUCUUUUGCAUUUGGUGGAGGGUGAUUUUUCUCAUACUUACUUGGUUUCUUUUCCAGACUCUUGUUUUGGAGGUGUAGAGGGAACGACAUCGGAAGGAGAAGAUGGCUAGAUACAAUAGGCUGGUGCAGAAUUAUGAUAGAACCCGCGAGGCGCUCCAGACCUUGGCCGACAUGUAUAAGCAGGACCUUAACUUUAGGGUGGUCCGUGAGGGCCUUGCUGAGUCCGAGGAACAGUUGCAGAAAAGAGUAGCCAAGCUGGAGAAAGUUGAUGAGCAGCUCUUGGCUACCGUUACUCGGGCCGCGGGGAUGGAGGUCCUUAUUCAGGCAAAGGAUGAGUAGUUGCAGCUUGACCGCGUGGUGGCGGAGGAAGCGGCAGAACUACGAAGUUGGGUUUGGCUUUAACUGCGGAGCUGGACGCCACUAAGGUUGAAGUUGAGGAGCUCAAAUAAGCUCUUGCGCAAGCGGAUAUCUCUCGUGAAGCACACGAGAUGUGGGUUUAUGCCGAGUUUCGGUUAGUCGUGCUUGAGGAGUUCCUGGCGGCUGCCUGAGCGUUUGAAGUGGAAGUUGAGAGCCAGCGCCGGUUGGUCAGAGUCUCUCGUGAAGCAGCGGGCUAUGAUCGUGAUUCACCGCCCGGGAGGGGGGCAACUCAGCGGAUAUCAAUCUCUUGGAAUCCAGUUCUUGGAUUUCCAGGGCGUACCCUCCCGGAAAUGAGGACGGGGCACCUGAGGGCCAGGCCAGGCUAGAUAAGUAGCGGUUUUCUUAGGAUCCUUGUAAAUAUACUUGUUUAUUCUGAUUUUUGUAUCAGGGGUUUUUGUUCCCUUGAUGAAAACAUGUAAUUUUUGUGGUAUGUAACUUUUCUACCUUUUGGCAUGUCAUCGUACUUUUCUUUUAUCGCAGUCGCUUGGAAUUUUUCGGCCAUUGUGGUGUAAAGUUACCCUUAUGGCUUUAGCUGUAUAAAAUAGGCAGUCGUAGCCUUGUGAAUGCGAUGGCUCUGUCCAUGUAUAGAUAGAGGUCGUAGCCUGAUGAGAAUGAUGUCCAUAGCCAUGUAAAAUAAAAGUCGCGGCCUAAUGGCCUUAGCCGUAUAAAACAAUAGUCGUAAUCACGUAAAAUGAGGGUUGUAAACUAAUGGCCUUAGCCAGACAAACGAUGGGCAUAGCUAUGUAAAAUAAAGGCCGUAGCCUGAUGGCCUUAGCCAUGUGAAAUAAAGGUCGUAGCCUGAUGGCCUUAGCCAUGUAAACUAUGGCCAUAGCCAUGUAAAAUAAAGGUUGUAGCCUGAUGGCAUUAGCCAUGUAAACAAUGGCCAUAGCCAUGUAAAAUAAAGGUCCUAGCCUGAUGACCUUAGCCAUGUAAACGAUGGCCAUAGCCAUGUAAAAUAAAGGUCGUAGCUUGAUGGCCUUAACCAUGUAAACGAUGGCCAUAGCCAUGUAAAAUAAAGGUCGUAGCCUAAUGGCCUUAGCCAUGUAAAAUAAAGGUCGUAGCCUGAUGGCCUUAGCCACUUCAUUCACUUGGAGAUGAUCAUAGCCUUUACAUUCAUUUGGAUAUGGCCGUAGCCUACUCAUCUGGAGAUGGCCGUGGCCUUUACAUUCAUUUGGAGAUGGAUGUAGCCUUUACAUUCAUCUCUAGAUGGUCGUAGCCUUUAUAUUCAUUUGGAGAUGGCCGUAGCCUAUUCAUAUGGAGAUGGUCGUGGCCAUUACAUUUAUUUGGGGAUGGCCGUAGCCUAUUCAUCUAGAGAUGGCCGUAGCCUUUACAUUCAUUUGGAGACGACACUAAUCCAGUCCCUGUAUCAUGUCUGUAAUGGAGAGCUCAUGGAGAGGCAGAGAUGAUGCACUUGCGCUGCAAAUGUCUCCAAGUGACCCCUUCGUCGCCUCGUUAAAAACCAUCCCAAGAAAACCCAAUUGAGACAAUACUCGGGUAAGGGAAAAAGAGUAUGACUCAGGUGACACCUUUUGAGAAGUGGAAACAUUUGAGGUGAGCGAUGUUCCUGUUGUUCUGGAGCGUCUUUCCUUCCAUUGUCUCUAGCUGGACCGCUCCUUUUCCAGCCGUCGCCGUAAUUUUGUAGGGUCCGUCCCAAUUUGUGCCAAAUUUUCCUUCACUUGGAUCUUUUGAGGCCAGGGUUUUCGCUUUAAGGAUGUAGUCAAAUGUUUUGAGCGGCCUCAUUUUUGCCAUCUUGUUGUAACAUUUAGCAACAAAUAAAUAAUUAACCAAACAAGUGCUCUCCGAACUAAGCUAGAUAGUCUCUUAUCACUAGGCUCACCAACCAACCUGGACUUCUUUUUAAUUAUUCCUUCUGGAUAUCAAAACAAACCAUAAGGAUUGUUUAUCUUUCGACUUAUUUUUUUCGGGCAACCAUCUUGAUGUGGGCCAUUUCUCUUCUUUAUUCGGUUUCGUCGAGAUCUUGGAGCCUGCUGAUGUCAUUUUAGGUUCCACUGGUGUGUGAGUACCUUGAGCUGGGUUCACCCACUUUGACGGGUAUGACAGCAUCGAUUCCAUAGAACAAUGAAUAUGGGGUUUCCCCGGUGCUGGAUUUGGGGGUGGUAUGUGCGCCCAUAAGACUUCAAGUAGUAAUUUGGGCCACAGCCCCUUGGCAUCUUCAAGCUUCUUUUUUAGUAUGUUUAGAAUUGUUUUGUUGGAGGACUCUGCAUAGCCGUUGGCGGCAAGGUGAUAUGGCAUUGAUAGUAUCCAUUUGAUACACCAUUUUACGAAGAACUCUGUCGUUUUCUUGCCAAUGAACUGGCACCCAUUAUCACAGCUGAUUUUUUGGGGAUGUCGAAACGGCAUAUGAUGUUUUUCCAAAUGAAGGUGAUGACUUCUUGCUCGCGUAUUUGUGUGUGCGCACAUGCUUCUACCCACUUGGAGAAGUAGUCAGUUAAAAAAAGUAAAAAUCGUACCUUUCCUCGUCUUGAGGGUAGUGGGCCGACUAUGUCCAUUCCCCAUUUGAUGAAUGGCCAUUGUGAGGUGACGUAAUGGAGGGGUUCUUCUGGUUGGUGUAUCAUUGGGGCGAACUUCUGGCACUGUUUACACCGUCAAACAUACUCAGCUUCCUCUCUUCAUGGUGGGCUAAUAGUAUCCGGCACACUUAAUGCAUCUUACGAGGGAGCAGUUGCCAGUGUGGGCACCGCAAUGGCCUUCGUGUACUUCUUCGAUUACCGGUCUUAUUUGUUGCGGCCCUAAGCACUUGGCUAAGGGCCACCGAACGUCCUUUAAUAAAGGUUGCCAUUGCUUAUGUGGUACUAGGCGUCCUAUAUGCGAAGCUUCUUUGCUUUCUUUUUAUCAGGGUAAUACCCCGUCCUGCAAAUAAGAUAUGAACUGGUUGCGCCAGCCCCAAGUCAGGCUUAGGGAAAGUACCUCGGUGCGGUCGGUAGCCGAGUGGAGGAGUGUGACCACACUUUAUUUGUUGAUGUUUUUGGUGGCGGCAUCCAACUUUGCCAGACCGUCCGCUUCGAUAUUCCAUGCUCUGGGAAUUUAUUCGAAGCGACAUUUGUCGAAUGUGGCCAUCACUAUGUGGAUUUCUGACUGUUACUUUUGUAAUCUCUAUUCUUUGAUCUGAUAACUCCCAAUGACUUGGUUCACUACAAGCUGGGAGUCGCAGAGGAGGAGAAUCCGGCGAGCUCCGUACUUGAUGGCCAGUUUCAUUCCUGUAAUAACAGACUCAUACUCGGCCUUGUUGUUAGUUAUUUCAGGGCAUAGUAUGGACUGGCGAAUUGUUUCACCUGUGGGGACUUCAAGUACGAGUCCCAUUCCCGAUCCCGAUGCAUUGGCGGUGCCGUCUACGUAAAGGGCCCAUAGAUUGUUUCCGGAGGACGUGCGUUGUGAUUCGAGUUCUGCCUUUGGCUUGACUUCCGCACUGAAGUCGGCGAUAAAGUCUGCUAGGACUUGCGACCUGAUGGCGGUCCUAGGGAGGCAUGUAAUGGCAUGCUCACUGAGCUCAACGGCCCAUCUGGCGACCUGAAACCAUUGUAGAGAGUGGUAGGAUCUCUAGAAACAAACUACAGCUUUGAUUCUUGAAAUCCCCACAGACGGCGCCAAAUUGUUUGGCUAAAAAGUUAUCCGAAUACUUAAAUAGCUUUAAAACAAUAAAAAAUGAUAUGGGUUAAUCGGAAUAAGGGGUAAUGUGAUCUAGAAUAUGCUAAAUGAUCAAGAUCUGUGAUUAUAAUGUCAAUGAAUCAAAAUAUAAGAGCAAUAAGCGUUAUUCGAACACUUAGGUAGCUCUAAAAACAAUCAAAAUUUUUUUGGGUCAAACGGAAUCAAUUGUAAUAUGAUCUAGAGAUUGUAGGAUAAAAGCAAUAAGGUAAAUAGUAUAUUUAACCCAAUAGAGAUAGAGAAUCAGAGAGAGAGAGAGAGAGUUGUAUAUUAUCAGUAGUGAAAUACACAUAAGUCUUCACAAAGAACAUAAGAUUAUAUACUAAGGGACAUUCUUCGAAAUAAUAAAAAGAAAGUACAAGAGUUGGUGGCCUCGAUAUACGAGUGUCAGAGCUUGAUGUGACGUUACAACAAGUCAUGUCACUCAGCCCGUUUGUUGACUGAGGCCGGCCUUGCUUGGGCCGACCUCACCAAGGCCGCUUUCCUUAGCGGGGCCGUGUGCGGAUAGUGUAUGGGUGUGAGGAGCCAAAUUUGCCCAAUACAAUUAUUUUUGGCAAAAUAAAAUAUUUAGCUUAAAUAAUAUAAUUAUAUCCAAGUUUUACUAUAAAUUAUAUUUAAAAAAUAUUAUCUAAAAAGUAAUAUUCUUAAAAGGAUAAAUACCUUACCAAGGUCGAUGUCUUUAGUGGGGCCGUAUGCGGAUAGUGUAUAGGCAUGAGGAGCUAAAUUUGCCCAAUACAUAUAUAUAUAUAUAUAAACUUAUGUAUCAUUUUCUUCCAUGUCAUUGAAAGUUUGAAACUAUGUUAUUAGACAAUGUUGACAUGCUACCACGUCAUUUAAACCACAAACUUUUUCUCACAACCAUUGUUUUUUUUAAAAAAAAAAACUCCAAAUGUUGUCCUAAAGGAUGAACAUUCUUCUUCCUCAGAUAUCCACUUAUUAAAUUUGUCUCUCUCUCUCAAACAAGAGCGCAAUGCUAUCUAGUUUAAUCUAAUUCCAGAUAAAAAUUAAAAAAUUUAUCAGCAGCAACUUCAUAAGUUGAAGUUGUGAUCCGUUUUUUUCAAAAAUUUAUCGAAUUUUAUGAACAAAUAAUAUUUUAAAUUUUCUUAAAAACAAAAAAUGAAAAUAUUUAUAUCCAGACGGGUGCCGACCGUAACAAAGGGACUUAACCAUCUCGGUAUCGAAAUUGAGUUUUUAGAGGUAAUCAACAUGAAUAUUAUGAUUGUAAAGAUAGAAAUUAUCGAAAAACCUAGAGAGAGAACCUCCUCCCUCUCACUAAAAUCUUUUACUCAUCAUACACAAAACUCUUCAUCUCCCUUCGAUCUUUUCGAUGAACAUAGACACUUGGCCAACUAAAAUUCCUCCAAAACCUCCUGAUAUCCUUGAUGAUUGCAAUCCUCAAAUCACCAAAAAACCAAAAAGCCUCUUUUAAAGAUAUUCUAAUUAUUGAAGCUGAAACUUUGUAACUAGGUUCUGCAGUGAUGCCAAAGUAUAAAACCCCCAUGGAAAUAUCCCUACCAUCGUGUUUAAAAGAUCUAUCUAUGGAAGAAAGGGUAGUUUGUCUUUCACAAGAAGAUAAAAUAUAUAUAUACCCUGGAAAUACUCCAUAAUCAUAAAACUUCAAGGAAAAUGUCUUCUUUAUCAAAUUCUUAAGAAGAAAAUAUAUGAUCUUUGAAAAGUUUCUGAUAAUUUUCCAUUAAUAGAUUUAGGAUCUGAUUAUUAUGUGGCUAAAUUCCAAAAAUAAGAAUGCAUGAUAUCAGUGCUACAAAAUGGAACGUGGUUUAUUUUUGGCCACUUUCUAUCCUUUCAACACUGGAAACCCAACUUCGUAGCUACAAAUUAAAAUCAAAAUCUCAUCGCGGUUUGGGUCUCACUACCAAGCUUCUAUAAAAUUCUAUGAUGGUAUAUAUUGCAAAAGAUAGAAAACUCAAUUGAUAGACUUUAAAGGUGGAUGCAUGUACCUCAUCCACCCUUAGGGGUCACUAUGCCCAUCUAUGCAUAGAGAUUCGAUUACACCGUCCAGUAGCAAAAUCCAUUAUCAUUGAGAAUCAUAAACAAGUCAUUGAAUAUGAAGGCAAUAAAACCCUUUGUACAAAUUGUGGCUUAAUAGUACAUACAAUGCAAAAAUGUCCAAUAACAAGAAACUCUACAGUUCAAGCAGUUGAGACUAACAAUGGGAUCGAAGGUCAACAAAAUCGACACUCCAAAGAAGAGGAGAGCUGCCAUACAGUUGCAUUCAAAAGCUCAAAACAAAUAAAUAAAAAGGCCCUUAGGGAACUCGUUACAAGAACUGCUAGGACAUGUAUACACGUUAAUAUUUUUAGCGCCACUACAUGUAAGUAUUUCCAAUCCCAAAAACUACAGUUUGUCCAGAAAGGAAUUCAUGAUGGUCAUCUUCAUAAUCCAAAUUCUUCUAUGAAAGCAACUUAAUCCUUCAUAGUAAGGAUUAAUUAUAGUAAAAAUUAUUUUUCUUCAAUAAAUGACAACAACCCUUUGUUAGAAAAUAAUGCCCCCAUAAAUGUUUUAAGUAACAAAAAUAUUACUAAAAACCAGGGGGCUAUGGUAUCAUAAACUACCCCCUCCCUUUCACUUGGUCACGACCCUAUAACCCACCCCAACCCUGAUGGCAGUAUACAAACCCUUCAUUUUCCAAUGCAAAAGGAAAAGAGAGACCUAUCCCCCGUCACAACUAGACACCCCCUGCCGAUGAACAAAUGGAAGAACAAUAUGGACAAGUGGCAAACUUCUCCCAUGCAAAAUCUUCAGAAUCACUCAUUAAAUCUCCCACGCCAAACCCUUUAGUUUUCAUGCAAGUAGAUGCAAUCAUUCCAAACUCCAUCUCCUCUAUAGACUUAAACUAUCUUCUAACACACGAAAAUGCCAAGGCUUCCAAUACCCAGUCGACGAAGAUAUCGAUUAAUCCAACUUGCUCGACCAAACAUCCCCUCAAAAUAUGAACAACCUCCCUCCUCUUCCACCACAAAUUUCAAACCCUCUGAUCAUCUAUGAAAAACUACCACUCUCUCAAGAUCAUCAUCCUCUCUCUUAAAUAGAACUAAGGUUAAUGGGGAGAGGUUUAAUGAUCACUGCAACAAUGAAUGGCCAAGAGAGCAUUAUUCUUAUCCAAAUUCCUCAAUACCUAGCGAAGUUAGUCUAUGAAAGCCUUCACCUUGCCAUGAACAACUACCUAAACCAUGUAUAGGUCAAUAAUAGAUUGUAACCUAGUUGCUGCACUAAAUCAGAAAAUUGCUCAGGAGAUGAGAAACCAAUGGAAUCUCCCCCCACCCUUUAAUCAUGUCCGAGUCCUCCAUCAAAAUAUAGGAUUAGAGCUCCCAUUCUUCCCCCCAGAAGUAGUGACAUCCCUGAACCCAAUUCUAAUGCAAUGGGAGGCCCCUCAACCACUUCAGGAUCCCCCUCAUAACAUGCAGAUGAACAUGCAGAAUAUAAUCCCAGACCCCCCGAUAGAUCAAAACUAAAACUUAGGAAAUCAGGUAAUAGAAGAAAUGAACCCUCCAAUAACCUACCUGGGGAGUCUGCAGUGGAAUAGGAAGUUUAAACGAGGUAAAAGUCUUCUUGUUCGAAGAGGAUUAAGAGAAAAGACACAUACUAGCCUAUCCCCAUACUUCUUCAAAUGUACAAUGGAUAUCUGCCCUCCCCAAGAUCCGACUGUAGGAAACAGAGCCAUGAUACUGGUGCCAACUCUGAGGAGGCUCUCCAAUCUGUACAUGGAGAGUGGACACAAGCUACAACAAUUGAAUAAUAUGCGUAGACCAAUAAAUUUUAUAAUCUAGAAUAUAAGAGGUGGGAAAAAUGAGUAAUUUGCUAGGAAUUCCAGGGAUCUAAUGGUGACUCAUAGGCCAUGCAUGGUGGCAUUACUAGAAAUUAGAAUUCAAAACCAUAGUAAUUUGAUGAAUGAAUUUUGGUUCACUAAACUUAUCGAAGUCCCUGCUGAUGGCCAAAGUGAUGGUGGUGUGAUGGGAUAAUUCUAAGCUGACAGUUCAUAAUUUCAUUAAAAGGAACCACAAGAUACAUUCUACAAUUGAGGUACAUUCCAGUAACAUUAGAUGGCCUUUUUCAAGUAUUUAUGCUAGCACUAGUUCUACUAAUAGCGAUAUCAUGUGGGAUAAUAUCAAGCAACACUCUAAUAAUUCCAAUGGGCCAUGGUUUCUGGGAGGGGAUUUAAUUAUAUUUUUAGCACUAAUGAUAAGAUAGGUGGUUGUCCGGUUAACCGAAAUCGUGCCCUAAAACUUUGGUCAUAUUUAAAUUAUUGUAAACCUCUUGAUCUUGGUUAUAAGGGUGGAAAAUAUACGUGGUCAACUCAUUGAUUUCAAAAUAAUCAACUAAUUCUAGAGCGUCUUGAUAAGGUUUUUGGGAAUGAUCAUUGGGUUCAAUGCAUUCCUAAUUCCUCAAUAGUUCAUCUCCCCAAAAUCCACUCGGACCAUAAUCCCCUCCUUAUAAAGAUCAUUCCUAAACAACAACCUUCUUACCCUAAACCAUUUAGAAUAGAGACUUCUUGGUGCAAACACCCCACGUUCCUUAAGGUGGUUGAAUAAUCUUUGAAUGAAAAUUCUUUUGAGAAAGCGGUUGCUAUUUUCAUGAAUGAUGUAACCUUUUGGAAGCACAACACCGUUGGGGAUAUAUUUUAAAACAAAAGGAAGUUUUUAGACAGAUUAAAUGGUAUCCAAAAUUCGGUCCACUAUUACCACUGUCCCUUCCUCCAAUCAUUGGAAAAAUCUCUUAUUGAUGACUUCAAUACAAUUUUGAAAAUGAAAGAAGACUAUUGGAAACUUAGAUCCAGAAUUUUUUGGCUUACUGGGGGAGACGCUAAUACUAGAUUCUUUCACAUAUCAACGACUAAUAGGAAAAGAAUUAACAAAAUUGUGUCCUUUAAAACGAUCAUAAUGUCUGGAUUGACUUCAAAGACAUUUAUACCUCUUUCCAUUCACUGAGCUAUUGGAAUAUUGCUAAUAAAACCACUAAUUCUUUCACUAACUAUAAUCUCUCAUCCUUAGACAACCCGGUCACAAUAUCUGAAAUCAAGCAAGCCUGUUUCUCUUUUAAACCCUUUAAAUUUCUUUGACCCGAUGGUUUACAUCCUUUUUUCAUUCAAAAAUAAUGGGAAAUUAUAGGUCAAUCGGUGAUCAAGCUUUGUGAGGAUGUCUUCAACAAGGGGAAAUUGCCUGAAGGUAUCAAUGCUACUCUUUUAUGCUUAGUCCCAAAGAUUCCCAAUGCGAAUAAUCUCAAGAACUUUAGACCAAUUUGUCUAUGCAAUACAAUUUAUAAGAUUAUCUAAAAAAUUAUUGUCAAUCGUCUCAAACCUUUCCUGGACAAUCUUAUUAGCCCCUACCAAACUAACUUCCUUAAAAUAGGAAAGCUAGUGAUAAUGCUAUGAUCAUCCAAAAUUUAAUGCUAAAGUUGAAUAAAUACAAAGGCAAAUAUCAAAAUAUGCUCUUUAAAAUUGACCUGGAAAAGGCCUUCGGCCGUCUAGAAUGGUCCUUUGUUCGUAAUACUUUAAUCUAUUUUAAUUUCCCCCCAAAGUCACUAAGAUUAUUAUGAACUACAUCACCACCUCUAGAAUAGCAAUCCUGGUAAAUGGAAAUAGAGCUCCUUAUUUUGAACCUAGUAGAGGAAUAAGAAAAGGUGACCUUUUGUCCCUUAUAUAUUCAUUUUUUGCAUUAAAAUGCUUUCCACUCACAUCAACCACAAGGUGGACAUAGGAGAGUGGAGCCCUAUAAAAAUUGGUAAAGGAAAUCUCAUCCUAUCUCAUCUCUUUUAUGUUGAUGAUCUGACACUUCUAAUAAAGAUUGAUGAUAAAUCCGUUCUUACUAUUAAAAGAUGUCUCGAUCAAUUUUGUUCUAAUAUAUUGGGAAAAGAAAUGGUGAAAAGAAAAAGCUUCAUCUAAUAUAUUGGGAAACCAUUACAAGAUCUAAGAAGGAUGGAGGUUUAGGUAUCCGAAAAGCUGAGAGCAAAAACCUAGCUAACCUUGCUAAGCUCUCAUGGAGGCUCCUUAAUACCCUCAAAGCUCCUUGGGCUCAGCUUAUUUAUCAAAUACAUGGCCAUAGGAAAACUACUAAGAAUUCCUCUUUUACUUGGUCAGGAAUUCUUAGGGGAUAGGAGUUAUGCAAUAAAGGUAUAACCUGAAUCCCUCAUAAAAAUUCUAAUCUUAACGUUUGGUAUAGUAAGUGGAUUCAUAAUAUGUCUACCCUAAGACAAUGUUUUAUUGCCCCCCUAGCCAAACCAGACGUUUCUCUAACUAUCAAGGACAUUUGGAAUAACAAUAAUGGAAUGUUUCUAUACUUCCCCAUCAUCUUCAAGAUUCUACCACCAAUAAAAUAAUAGUCACUUCUCCAUCUAGAAGAAAUUAUGACUUACCUAUCUGGUCGCUCAACGUAAUUGGUCUUUUUACAUCCAAAUUUUGGUACUUUAUACUCAACAACUAUGUUGACACAAAGGUAGACUUCUCUUGGAUAUGGAAGUUAAGCUGCCCUAAUAAAUUUAAAUAACUCCUAUGAAAAUGUCUUCACAAUAAGCUUCCUACUAGAAUCCACCUUAAUCAUAUAGGUAUAAACAUUGAUCCUAUAUGUUCCUUCUGUAAACUCCAAGAGGAAACUAUUGAACAUAUCUUUCUAGACCGCGAGGCAGUCCAUGAUCUAUGGUAUUUGCUAAAUAUUGAAAAUAUCUCCUUAAUUUACAAAGCAAAUGGGCUUGUCUUACUUAGUGACAAAGACCCUCCCUUAGGAAACUAUAAUGUUAAGUGGAAGGAGCUCCUUCCUAUUGUUAUUUGGAACAUAUGGAUGAACAGAAAUAAUAACUUCUUUAAUAAUUUUUCAAAUAAAAUCUCUCUUAAGAAUGCUAUAAAUCAAACGGUGCAAUAUAAUCUCCUAACUCAAAAAGAGUUUAAUAAUCACUGUUCCAUUAAUAUUAGGGUUGGCUGGACUAAAUCUAUCACUAGUGCAUUUAAACUUAACAUCGACAGCUCCUUCCGCCAGACAAAUUCUCUUUGUGGACUGGGUAGGGCUAUAUGGAUAGAAAUGAUCAUUGGAUUGUGGGUUUCCAUGGAGAAGCAACGGGCCUAUCACCAAUCCAUGGAGAGCUUCUUGCACUGAAAACAGGGUUGGAAUUGGCUAUAAAGCAAGGACUCCAUGAUAUCGAAGUGGAAAUGGAUUCCACGGAUGCGAUAAGCCACAUCACAAACGGUUUGCCUCUAUUUGACAAUAUCAUUUUUGAUUGCAGGUUGAUAAUGAUCCAGUUGAAGGUCCAAGUAAUCCACCACACAUUCAAUGAAGCCAACAAGGUGGCACACUUAGUGGCUAAAACCGUACUCAAGGAGAAUCGAUGCAACAUGGACAUCUCUAUUUUUAUUAUCCACCCCCUUGUAUCGAUAAUGCUCUAGUUUUGGAUUUGGAAGAAAGGCCUUUGGCAACAAAAAGGCUAAACAAAACUGUCUGAUAUAACCUAGCAUAUUUUGGUAACCAAAUGACUUUCGUGACAUAUUAUGUAAUAGCAAAGUAGUAAAAGCCCCGAUGGGUAUGGAUGGUUGUAUGAACUAUGAUGUUACUUAGCUAAUAUAAAUAUUAGGUCCCUGUUACUCCAAAAAAAAACAUAAAUACUAUGCAAAAAUAUGCAUAGAAAUUUUUGGUUGCAUUAUAUAUAUAUAUAUAUAUCUAGAAUAGCAAUCCUGGUAAAUGGAAAUAGAGCUCCUUAUUUUGAACCUAGUAGAGGAAUAAGAAAAGGUGACCUUUUGUCCCUUAUAUAUUCAUUUUUUGCAUUAAAAUGCUUUCCACUCACAUCAACCACAAGGUGGACAUAGGAGAGUGGAGCCCUAUAAAAAUUGGUAAAGGAAAUCUCAUCCUAUCUCAUCUCUUUUAUGUUGAUGAUCUGACACUUCUAAUAAAGAUUGAUGAUAAAUCCGUUCUUACUAUUAAAAGAUGUCUCGAUCAAUUUUGUUCUAAUAUAUUGGGAAAAGAAAUGGUGAAAAGAAAAAGCUUGGGUCGGCCCGUGACCCAUAUAGAGUUGGCUUGGGCUGACCACUUUAAGAUCCAUUAAAAGUAGUCGGGCCUAGUCAACCCGUCAAAGGCUAAAGCCCGCAUGACAGAUAAUUUUUGGGGAUUUGUAUCUAUGCCCAUUUUUGGGUCACAUUUUAACUUGUGUCCGCUUUGCAACAAAAAAUUACAAUUGUGUCCACUUUUCACGUAACUUCAGCAUACGGGACUGAAGUAACAAAGGCAAUCACAACUUCAGCAUUCUAGUUGACGAGCUUGAAGUAGCAAAUGCAAUACGCUGAAUUUUUUUGUCCUUGAUAAGAUGCUAAAGUUCUUUAGUUCAUUUGUAAAAGCUUCACCUAUUUUGUCCUGAAUUUAUUAGUUUUGUCAUAAAGCUCAAAACCUUCAGCAGAAGAUGCUGAAUUUAUUUAUUUCAUUUGUAAAAACUUCAGGACUAAAUAAGCUGAAGUUUUUUGUCCUUUAUAAGCUUUUUCAAAAACUUUAGCAGAAGAUGCUGAAGUUAUUUAGUUCAUUUGUAAAAAAAUUAGUACUAUGUAAGCUAAAGUUUGUUUGUCCUAGAUUCAUUAGUUUUGUCAUAUAGUUUUUUCAAAAAGUUCAGUGAAUUUAUUUAGUUCAUUUGUAAAAUUUUAACAUUGUAUAAAUUGGAAUUUUUAAAAAAUAUUUCUAACAUGCUAGAUAAAUGAUCACAUUAUUUUUUCAUGAUGUAUGGCUGCGGAAAUGUGCUUAUAAUAGAAGCAGUCACAUUUUGUAAUGGCGCAUUAUAUAAUAAUAUUUUUGUUUGUAAUAAAAAAAAAAGAACUUUAUCAUCGACAAGAAAUCUUUGUAAUAUAUCAUGUCACGUAGAGAGUAUUUCACAUAUUACUAUAUAUGAUAUGGAUAAAUCGUGGCUCGUGGCCAGCCUAUGAGAUCCAUAAAACCAACAGCAAAUAUUCUCUUCAUCAUUGAAAAACUGCUAGAAAUGCAAGGAUAUUGUUGCAUGUGUCCAAUAAAAUAAUAUUUUUCAAUUUCUCAUUCCAUAAUCACAAGAACGGAGGUGUUUCGGUGCUUAUUUAUAUCCUUAAAUGAACACGUAUCUGGUCAAAUUAUGUCCUAAACUACUAAGUACUAAUAAUAAAUUUGCAGCUUCGAUUUUGAAUAUUUAUUAUCAACCACAUGAUCCACAGUGCUAUUUGUUUAUAGUUUGCAUGUAGCUUUUUAUAGGAGAAGAAAUCUAAUAAGCAAAAGCCAAAUGCAUGACAACUAUGAUUUAACUACUCUUUUAUUACUUAACCAUAAUCAAUUAAUGUAUGGCAUAUCUUUAUAUAUCAAUCAAUUACAAUUAAAUAACAUAGUUCAGUGUAAAUAUCAUGUAUCAGCAAAAUUUUUUCAAUCAUAGUGUCGUUGACAUACAGAAUAUAAGGAGGCAAUUUAAGCCUUAUGUGAAAAUAAAGUAGUAUUUUUUUCUUUGAGGAAUGAGUAGAUGAUAGACAAUGAAAAUCUCAAAACCGUAGAGUCAAUUAUCCAACAUAGUUUUAUGUCAGUAGGAAUUUGCCAGCUUGUUUUCAUAUUCCUUAUAUUUUGUACUGCAAUUCUGACCACAUGGGGAUCUUCUAAUUUCUUCAUUAAUUUCAUAUAAAAUAGAAAAACUAAAUGCAAGAAUUUUCAUAAUUCUGUCUAUAAAUCACACACAUUUUCAUCAUUUCUAACACCAAGCAAACAAUAUUUUCACUAAUUAAUUCAAUUAUUGAUAGUGCAAAUUAACUUUAGUGGAAAUGGAUAAGUUUGCUGCAUCAUCUAUUGUCCUUCUUCUCACUUUGAACAUUCUCUUCUUUACUAUGGUUAACUCAACUAAUGACCCAUGCCCCGCACCCCUACAACCCAAGCCCCACCCUACCCCCUAUACCCCUAACCCCACACCAAACCCCAAUCCUACCCNNNNNNNNNNNNNNNNNNNNNNNNNNNNNNNNNNNNNNNNNNACCCCUUAUACUCCAAGCCCCAAUCCAUACCCUACCCCCAAUACCCCAAGUCCCAUCCCCAACCCCAAACCUACUCCUACCCCGAAUGCCCCCCAUACCCCAAACCUACCCCUACACCUAAUACAUGUCACGAUCCAACCUGGUCGUGAUGGCGCCCAACACUAAAGCUAGGCAAGCCUGACCAUCAAUCACUUUCCAUUUAACACUAAGUCUCAAAAAUCGAAAAUUUAAGAAUAUUAUAUUAAUAUUAGAAUAAUAAUCAAAAAAUAUUUAUAGAGUAAUAUGGAAAACUACAAAAAACCGAUAAACACGCCCAUAAGAUCUGGGGUCACGAGUCUAGAGCCUCUAAGUAAAAAUGGAUAAUAAUAUUUGAAUGAAAAUAUGAAAAUAAAUGUGGAAAUGUGUAUAAUAAUAAUGAACUGGAAUAUGAAGAGCAGCCAUGUCUUGCGAACAUCAAGCAGCUACCUCAACGACUCUGAAAAAAUAGCUGGAGACUACGAGUGCUCAGCUAAGCCUCCGGUGUACCUGAAUCUGCACACAAGGUGCAGGGAGUAGGGGUGAGUACUACCGACUCAAUGAAUAAUAAGCAUAAAAAAAUAUUUGAAAUUAAGAAAUUCACGAAAUGCCAUAAAGCAAAGCUAAAAAUAACCAUCCUAUACCUUAGCUACGAACUAACAGCAAAGCAAUAUCAAAUAUAACAGUCAAGUAUCAGAUNNNNNNNNNNNNNNNNNNNNNNNNNNNNNNNNNNNNNNNNNNNNNNNNNNNNNNNNNNNNNNNNNNNNNNNNNAUCAAAUAUAACAGUCAAGUAUCAGAUAAAGAUGCAAUGCAAUGCACAUGAAUACGUUGCGGCGUGCAGCCCGAUCCGUUUAACGUUGACGGCGCUCACUGGGGGUGUGUAAAGACUCCGGAGGGGCUCCUUCAGCCCAAGCGCAAUAUUAUGAUAUCACCGCUGCGGCGUGCAGCCCGACCCAUGCUCAGUCCACAAAAUACAUAUGAGUCACAGAACAGAUUUAAUCUAAUUUUCCAUUUUUUCAAUUUUUGAGGUGAAUGUAAUUUAAUUAAUCAAUUUGAGGAAUAAGGUGACUUAGCAAUUAAUAACAUUGAUUAAGCACUGGACUGAGAUCAAUGAUUAUGCAAAUCAUGUUAUCACACAGAUAAUCACCGUAGACGGGUACUACAGAUCGGCACAAGGCCCCAAACACGGCGUUAAUCCCAAUUAUCAACAACACAAUAUGUGUAUCAGCCGCCAGUAAUUUAUAUUCAGCUCUCGGGAUGGACCAAGUCAUAAUCCCCAAUCAUAUACCAUCCCGCAUCUGCCAUGGGGUGCAGGUCACACCCUAACAUAGCGUCACGAUGUGAUAAACCGGGGUUUCAAACUCUCAGGCCAUCAUCUAUACAAAGUACUCACCUUUAACCGGUCGUAGACUGGUCCGCGAUUCUUUUUCCCUUUGAAUCUCCGUCUACGCGCAUCAAAUCUAGUCAAAACAACAACGAAUAUGUUAUUAUAGGGUAAAUAAACAUAACCCAACUGAAAUUAUUGAAAAAACGCUAAAAAUGCCGAGGUUGGCAAAAUUCGAGCACCGAGCCCACUUCUCAAAAAAUUCUGAAAACCACAUCUUUGGAUUCCUUGUCUCGCCACGAGUCUGUGCAUAUAAACUUUGUCAAAAAAGGAGCUCGAAUGACCUUUCAAAUCCCCAAAAUUCGUUUCUAAAAACUAAACCCUAGUUCUCCAAAAUUUCUACCCAAUUUCAUGGAUUAAUGGUUGAUUCUCCCUAAAAAUGAUGUUUUUAAUUCAAGAGACUUACCUCCAAUCAAUAACCGUUGAAAACACGCUUCAAAUCGCUCAAAAAUAUCUCUUGGUUGCUUAACAAUGGAGGAAAUUAUGAAUAGGUCACGGGUGAAAUAACCCUUAAAACAUUUUGUCCGCCCAGUUAUCCUUCUAUGCGAUCGCAUCCCUACUCCUGCGAUCGCAUAGACCAAAAAUUCGGCCCUCCAAUUUUCCUUUUACGCGAUCGCAUAACACUGAGCCAUAUAACUACGGGAUCGCAUUCGCCACUACGCGAUCGUACAGAACACAAUCCCACAGUUAUGUGAUCGUAGAGCCUCUUAAGCGAUCGCAUAGGGAAAUUCCAGGGCACCUCCAAAACCUUCUAUGCGAUUGUUGACAUACCUAUGUGAUCGCAUAGAGUAAAUCUCUGCUGCACUUUCUUAUUCGAAAAUCCCCGUUAGCCAUCCGAAAUCACCCUGAGGCCCUCGGGACCUCAACCAAAAGGACUGAUAUGUCCUAAUACUUCAUUCAAACUUGCUCGUAACAUAAAAACACUAUCAUAAACAUCAAAAUAAUAAAAUUACCAUGUAUUCAAGCAUAAGUUAAACUAAAACAUCUGAAACUUGCAUUUGAUCCAAAACCCGAUCUAAACACCUCCGAAUGAUCUGAAAAUUUACACGCAUAUCCAAAAUCAACUAACAUAGCUACUGCAACUGUUGGAAUUCCAUUCAGACCCUCGGAUCAAAAUCUCACCUAUCAACUGGACUUCGCCCAAAUUCUAACUUAGCCAAUUCAAGCCUAAUUAUACACCGGGCCUCCAAAUUCAGUUCUGAUUUCGCUCAUAAGUCACAAAUCACCAUCCGAAACUAGUCAAAUCUUUGGAAAUCCAUUUCGUAUCCUCUAACUCAUAAUUCAACAUCAGUUAUGAUUGCUCUCCUAAUUCAUAAAUCACCACCCGAAACUAGUCGAAUCGUUAGAAAUCCAUUCUGAGUCCUCUAACUCAUAAUUCAAUAUUCGGUUGACUUUUCCAAACUAACUUCCUCAUAAAGAGACUAAUUGUCUCAUUUCUACCCAAACUCCAUCUGAAUUACUUGAAACUCUCCAAACUCAUAGAAUGGAACAUAUAUAAACAUAAAACGGGGAAAACAUGACGGUAAAUUUACGGGACGACAGGUCAGGUCGGUACAUCCUCCCAACUUAAACAAACGCUCGUCCUCUGGCGGGUCAAGAAACAUACCCGGAGUAUCAAACAAGUGAGUAUAACUGUUGUGCAUCUCCUACUCGGUCUCCCAAGUGGCUUCCUCCACGGGCUAACCUCUCCACUGCACCUUCACCAAAGCUAUGUCCUUUGAUCUCAACUUUCGAACCUGACGACCCAAAAUAUCCACUGAAUCCACAUCAUAGGUCAAGUCUUCAUCUAACUCGAUUGAGCUGAAGUCUAACACUUGAGACGGUUCCCUAAACGAGCUAGGCGUCAAAGCGAGCAUAUAGGCCACCUCCCCAAUCCUCCUAUGUAUUUCAAAAGGUCCAAUAAACCUGGGACACAGCUUCCCUUUCAUUCCAAACCUCAUAACACCUUUCAUAAGAGAAACCUUUAACAAGACCUUCUCGCCCACUGCAUAAGAUAUAUGUCGAACCUUCCGCUCUGCAUAACUCUUUUGACGCGACUGAGCUGUACAAAGCCUCUCCUGGAUCACUUUCACCUUCUCUAGAGCAUCCUGAACUAACUCCGUCCCCAAUAAUCUAGCCUCGCGGGGCUCAAACCAACCAAUCGGAGAUCUACAAUGUCUCCCAUAUAAGGCUUCAUACGGCACCAUCUGGAUGCUGGAUGGAUAGCUAUUAUUUUAUGCAAACUUCGCAAGUGGAAAAAAUUAAGCCCAAGAACCUCCAAAAUCAAUAGCACAGGGGCGCAACAUGUCCUCCAAUGUCUGGAUAGUGAGCUCGGACUGUCCGUCCAUCUGUGGAUGAAAUGUUGUGCUCAAUUGUACCUUUGUGCCCAACUCCCGAUGAAAAGUCCUCCAGAACUAGGAAGUAGACAUGAUGCCCCUAUACAAUGGAAACCGGGACCCCAUGCAACCGUACAAUCUCUCGAAUGAAAAUCUCUGAUAACUUCUCCGCAGAAUAGGUAGUGCAUACUGGAAUGAAGUGCGCGGACUUAGUCAGCCUAUCCAUAAUCACCCAAAUUGAAUCAAACUUGUUUGAGGUAUGAGGAACACCGCUCACAAAAUCCAUAGAAAUAUUCUCCCAUUUCCACUCCGAGAUAUCCAUCCGCUGGAGUACACCAAAGGGUAUUUGGUGGUCAUAUUUGACCUGCUGACAGUUGAGACACCGAGCCACAUAAUUCACAAUGUCCUUUUUCAUUUCCUCCACUAGUAACACUGUCUCAAAUCCUGAUACAUUUUCACGGCACUAGGAUGAAUCGAAUACCGCGAGCUGUGGGCAUCCUCUAAUAUCAGCUCCCGUAGACCAUCUAUAUUGGGCACGCAAAUCCGGCCCUGAAUUUAUAACACACCAUCAUCGCUAUUGGUCACAUCACUUGAAUCAUCUUGCUGAACCCUGUCCUUCAGGACAAGCAAAUUCGGGUCAUACAAAGAGGAUCGGAAACCACACUAGCCAACACCCGGCUAGGCUUGAAAAUAUCUAACCUCAUCAUUUGAUUGGCCAAGGCCUGAACAUCAACCGCUAGGGCCUCUCCCUACCUGGAAAGUAUGCCAGACUACGCAUGCUAAUAGCCUUCUAGCUCAAAGCAUCUACCACUACAUUGGCCUCCCGGGAUGAUACAGGAUAGUAAUAUCAUAGUCUUUGAUUAACUCAAGCCAUCUCCGCUUUCUCAUAUUAAGAUCCUUCUGGUUGAACAAGUGCUGAAAACUGCGAUGAUCCGUAUAUACCUCACAAGAUACACCAUAUAGAUAAUGCCUCCAAAUCUUCAAGGCAUGAACAAUUGCAGCCAAUUCCAAGUCAUGGACAGGAUAGUUCUUCUCACGAGGCUUUAGCUGACGAGAAGCAUAAGCUAUUACUCUACCCUCCUUCAUUAAUACACAACCGAUCCCAACUCUCAAAGCAUCACAAUACACCAUGUAAGAACCUGAAGCUGAUGGCAACACUAUGGUCAAAGCCGACUUGAGCUUUUGGAAGCUCUCAUUGCAUUCAUCUGACCACACAAAUGGGGCAUUCUUCGGCGUCAACUUCGUCAAGAGCGAAGCAAUAGAUGAAAAUCCCUGAACGAACUUGCGAUAAUAACCCGCCAAACUGAGGAAACUCCGAAUAUAAGUAGCUGAGGUCGGUCUGGGCCAACUCUACACCGCCUCAAUCUUCUUUGGGUCAAACUGAAUACCAUCACUGGACAUCACGUGUCCCAGAAAGGUCACAGUAUUAGGCCAGAAUUCACACUUGGAGAACUUUGUAUAAAGCUUCUCCUAUAUCAAUCUCUGCAAGACCACCCUCAAAUGUUGCGUGUGCUUCUCCUGGCUACGCGAAUACACUAGAAUAUCAUCAAUAAACAUGAUCACAAAAGAAUCCAGAUAAGGCCGAAAUAUACUAUUCAUCAAGUGCAUGAAUGCGUCUAGGGCAUUGGUCAGCCCGAAAGACAUCACUAGAAACUCGUAGUGCCCAUAUCUCGUCCUAAAAACCGUCUUCAUAAUGUCUGAAUCCCUAAUCUUCAGCUGGUGAUAGCCUGAUCGAAGGUCAAUCUUAGAGAAUACCCUUGCUCCCUGAAGCUAAUCAAAUAAAUCCUCAAUACGGGGUAGUGGGUACUUGUUCUUUGCUGCCAGCUUAUUCAACUGCCUGUAGUCAAUGCACAUUCUCAUUGUGUCGUCCUUCUCCUUGAGAAAUAAUACCGGUGCACCCCAAGGUGACACACUCGGGCAAAUGAACCCCUUAUCUAGAGUUCAUGAAGUUGUUCUUUAAAAUCCUUUAGAAUCAUUGGUGCUAGACGAUAGGGAGUAAUAGAGAUGGGCUGAGUGCCAAACACCAGAUCAACACCGAAAUCAAUGUCCCUGUCCGGCGGCAUGCCUGUCAAGUCCGCUGGAAAUACAUCAGGGAAAUCCCUUACAAUGGGAACCGAAUCAUGACUAGGAGCCUCAGCUUCCACAUCCCUCACAAAAGCCAGAUACAACAAAUACCCCUUUCCAACCAUCCGUUGAGCUUUUAGGAAGGACAUCACUCUACUAGGUACAUAUUCAGUCACGUUUCGCCACUCGAUCCUCGGAAUACCCGGAAUAGCCAACAUAAUUGUCUUAGCAUGACAGCCCAGAUUAGCAUGGUACGGAGAUAGCCAAUCCACACCCAGAAUCACAUCGAAGUCUACAAUGCCCAAUAAUAAUACGUCAACUCGUGACCCCAAAUAGUCACCCGACAGGAUCGUUAGACAUGAUCCACAAUAAUAUUAUCACCCACCAGGGUAGAUACGUGCACGGGAUAGGUAAGACAACCACGGAUCGUACCCAAAUGAUGAGAAAAAUAGGAAGAUACAUACGAAUAGGUAGAUCAGGGAUCAAAUAAAAUAGAAACAUUCCUGUGGCAGACUGAGAUAAUACCUGUGAUGACUGCAUCCAAGGGAAUAGCGUCCCUCCUAUCUGGAAGGGCAUAGAAACAAGCCUUGCCACCGCCUGUACGGUCCUCACCCCUGGGGCAACCCUGCUACCUUGCCUCCGCCCCUAGCUUCUUGAGUCGGAGACGAAGAAACCUGAGCAGAAGAUGAGGGCUGAUCCCUCUUCUAGAUACUGUCUAAGGUUCACGGGUGAAAGAAGAUGAUAAGAAGGGAAAGGAAAGCGAGCCAACGGAAGAACUGGGAUAGGAAUAGCAAAGCCAAGGCACCCUAUUUAUAGGAACUACGACAUAACCAUAAAGGCUCCAGAAGACUGAACGAUGGGCGCAGUUAAUGCAUCCAUGGAAAAUCAAACUGAAGGUGGUACCUUCACCUUGAAAAAUGAGAAUCAGGAGUUCAAUGAAUAAAGUUGAAAAGCACGAGCCUGUGGAUGUCCAAUCAUCUCGAUGCUCAGGCCAGGAGUUGCAUCAUCGAUAUGUCAUCUUUGAAAGAAGAUCGAUGAGUUGAGUGUCAGAAUUAUUUCCCAUCUUUUCAUUAUAGGAAAUGCAGAGACUAGGUACGCAGCGAAAUCAAAAGACUUGAUUUCGUGCUGUCGAAACAUUUCAGAAGCAUGCCUCGGAACCCUAGAGGUGGAGGCCGCGGCCGAGUUCCCGACCUCGAGGAAACGAAGACUGAAGCCAGGAUAGAGGGGAAAGUCCCCCAAGGCACAUGGCUACGUCUAACAUGUCUCAUCUCUGUACUUUGUAAUUAAUCUCCACAAACUUGUAACCGAGUCUCUCCUUAUAUAUAAAGGGGACUCACCCUACCUUGCAAAAGGAUGAUGUUGCAUCAUUUUUCUACUAAAGCAAUAAUAUCUCUCUCUCUUUCUUUUCUUCUGAAAUUGUUCAUUUUCAUUGGCCCAGGGCCGCUUUAGCAUUUAUCAUUCUCUUAUUUGGUCUUCACUAUAUUUCUCAAUAUUGGUAACAUAGAGCCUUGCUUUGUCAUAACUCGAGCUCAGCUAGAACAUUGGCGCUGAGGUCCCCGUCGACCGGCUUUGUAUCUGGGCAACAGGCCCCCUCAGUUUGAUUAUUGUCUCGUUUUAGCUCGCUUUUCAUCAUUAUACUUCACUUUAUUAGCAUCAACUGCUCUAAAAACUAACUCAAGAAUAGAUCACGUAUUUUUAGAAUCUCAUUUAUAAAUUUAAUUAUCGUUACUAUUUUUACAGUAAACAAAGCCUCAUGUGAAAAUAAAGGAGGAGCAUUUUCUUUUUGCCGAAUAAGAAGAUGACAGACAAUAAUCUCAAAAUUCUAAAGUCAAUAAUCCAACAUAUAUAAUUUUAUGUUAGUUGAAAUUUGCCAGCUUGUUUUCAUAUUCCUUACAUUUUGUACUGAAAUUACAACCAUAUGGGCAUCUUGCAAUUUUUUCAUUAAUUUCAUAUAAAUAAGAAAACUAAAUGCAAGAAAUUUCAUUAUUCUAUCUAUAAAUACUCAUCCAUUUUUCAUCAUUUUCAACACCAAACAAACAUCAUUAUUACUAACUUCUUCAGUUGUUGAUAGAGCUAAUUAACUUUAGUGGAAAUGGCUAAGUUUGUUUCAUCCCCCAUUGCUCUUGUUUUAACUUUGAACAUUCUCUUUUUCACUAUGGCUAGAUCCACUAAUGCCCCAUGCCCACCACCCCCCUACAACCCAAGCCCCACCUAACCUUUAUACCCCAAACCCCACCCAUACCCCAAGCCUUGCCCUACCGUAUGUACCCUAAGCCCCAUCCUACCCCUAAUACCUCAAGACCAACACCACAUCCCAAGCUAAUCCCUAAUACCCCAAGCCCCACCCCACACCCC